rnacentral:rRNA from 1 species
GAGUGGCGUCCGGGUGAGUAACACGUGGAUAAUCUGCCUGCGGGCGGGGAAUAACUUUCCGAAAGGGGAGCUAAUACCGCAUAACACUGGCAUCCUUGAACAGUCAAAGAGGGGGAUCGCAAGACCUCUCGCCUGCAGAGGAGUCCGCGGCCGAUUAGCUAGUUGGCGGGGUAACGGCCCACCAAGGCAGCGAUCGGUAGCCGGCCUGAGAGGGCGAACGGCCACACUGGCACUGAAACACGGGCCAGACUCCUACGGGAGGCAGCAGUGGGGAAUUUUGGGCAAUGGCCGAAAGGCUGACCCAGCAACGCCGCGUGAAGGAUGAAAUCUUUCGGGAUGUAAACUUCGCAAGUCAAGGAAGAAUAAGUUUGCACUAAUACUGCAAGCGACGACGGUACUUGACGUAAGCCCCGGCUAACUCCGUGCCAGCAGCCGCGGUAAUACGGGGGGGGCAAGCGUUGUUCGGAAUUACUGGGCGUAAAGGGCGCGUAGGCGGCCAGACCAAGUCAAAUGUGAAAGACCGGAGCUUAACUCCGGGCGGUCGUUCGAUACUGGUCGGCUAGAGUGUGGAAGAGGGUGCUGGAAUUCCCGGUGUAGCAGUGAAAUGCGUAGAUAUCGGGAGGAACACCAGCGGCGAAGGCGGGCACCUGGGCCAACAC